rnacentral:rRNA from 1 species
UGGGGAAUAUUGCACAAUGGGCGCAAGCCUGAUGCAGCCAUGCCGCGUGUAUGAAGAAGGCCUUCGGGUUGUAAAGUACUUUCAGUCGGGAGGAAGGUGGUAAGGUUAAUAACCUUAUCAAUUGACGUUACCGACAGAAGAAGCACCGGCUAACUCCGUGCCAGCAGCCGCGGUAAUACGGAGGGUGCAAGCGUUAAUCGGAAUUACUGGGCGUAAAGCGCACGCAGGCGGUUGAUUGAGUCAGAUGUGAAAUCCCCGGGCUUAACCCGGGAAUUGCAGCUGAUACUGGUCAGCUAGAGUCUUGUAGAGGGGGGUAGAAUUCCAUGUGUAGCGGUGAAAUGCGUAGAGAUGUGGAGGAAUACCGGUGGCGAAGGCGGCCCCUGGACAAAGACUGACGCUCAGGUGCGAAAGCGUGGGGAGCAAACAGG